CACUGAGUCACAUCUCUAACCCCUUUUUAAUUUUUUUAUUUUGAGACAGGAUCUUGCUAGGUUGCUGAGGCUGGCUUUGAACUUGUCAUCCUCCUAUCUCAGUCUCCCAAGCUGCUGGGAUUGCAGGCGUGCGCCACCACACCUGGCCUGGAGAGGGGAUUUGCUGUGGCAGGGAGGGAAGAAUGGAAAGAGCUUGUUGUUAUUAUUUUGGUUUCCCUAACUGCGCCUCCCCUGCCGUCCUGUCGGAGCCCAUCAUCUAUCUCUGCCACGUUCCCAGCUUCAGUCCCAGUUUCCCUGGAUUCUCCAGUGCUCGCAGGAUCAGGUCAGAACUCUUUGGCUAUCUGUCCUCAUCUGUCAUUGUCCCUUACACAUUCCCUGGUCCUUGCUGCAACAGGCUGAUCUCCAUUCUGCCAACACUCUGCCUCGUUUCUGUCCACCUUGCUUUCCCAGCCUGCUUCUAUACCCCGUCUCUCCUGACUUCCCUUUCCUCUCCUGCCUCAUCAGCCUCCCUGCAGACUGUCGACCAGCCAGCUCAUGCCCACCUGUGCACUCACUGUCCCUCUGCCAGGAGAACCUUCCAUCAGACUAUGCCCCUACUCACCAGGCACGUGGCCGGGGCCAUUCCCUCCUUCUCCCUUAAAGCUGAGCCUCCACAUCUGGACACUAGCAUCCCUGCUAUGCUUCCCUCUCACCUGCUCUUCUUCUUUCACGGGACAUAGGACAGAAGAUUGAGAUUGUUGGUAAUUUAUCCUUCUCCACAUGACCACUGCUUAUGGUCAGGUCUAGUCUUCAUUCAUCAUAAGUCUCCCAGUAUUUAGCACUUAGUAAGUGCUUCCUCAAAUAUCUCUUGAGUCAAAAUGAGCUCUUUCUUACUGGCCUAAGAGCCCCUGAAAGAUAGGACCCACCCCCACAUUGCCAGAACAUCUGGCACAGGACCUGGCCCACAAAUUGUCCAUAAAUGCUCAAUACACUGAAUUUCAGUGCUGCUAGAUAGUUCUGGGGAGAGUGGUCAAUAGUUUUCUGCCCCUAAACAUCCCCCUGUUUGCAAAAAGAACUUCCUAGCUGUCUUGAGAUGCCAUCAUUCUCAGCUUUCAGAGGUGAAAAGCAGUUUGUCACAAGCAGAGAAUGACAGACACUCGGGGUGGGAGAGGAAGAGGGACAGGAAGCAAUUAUGGGAGGGGCGGGUGGGGGAGAUCCAGGCUGUCACCCAUCUCCCUAGCUUCCCUUCUGCAAGUGAGAAGGAAAACAAAGCUCAGGAAAUCCUAUUUACCCUUUCAGGGAUGUGGAGAGUACUUUGUCCUCCUUUCCCCAUCAGCUCUGCCAGCAGGAGCAGAAGGAGUUAUCUGAAAAGGAGAACCCCAUGUAAAUGUUAGGUUUAACGAUAUCUCCAC
rnacentral:lncRNA from 1 species